AUGGGAUUAUGCCCUUAUAUGGGUACAGCAAAGAGAUUAAGACAUGACCUGCUUUUCUCACAAUACCUGCAAGUGAGGCAUGAAGCAUCAGUAAUGGUGAUGAAAGCCAUUACGAUCAAUUUUCGUAAGCCCCUGUGUGUUCAAAAACGCAUAGGUGCUGCUUAUUUCCUGGCUGAUUAUUACUGUAAAUUCCUGCUGCCUUUUGUAGGCUGCUUCCUGGCAUGCCGAUUAGCAGGGCGAGAGCCGCGUGAUGAGGAGAGGGAGAGGAGCCGGGCCUGGGAGCCAACUUUCUCCAGAGCUGUGAAUGGAGGAUUAAGCUCAGGGAGCCGGGCAUGGACAGGUGCCCAGCCGAGAUGCAGAGCUUCCCAGGCCGGCAGAAUAAGCUUCGACACCUCCCUAUCUAUUAGAAACAAUUAGGAGCCCACAGCUCCUGGUGCGGACUCAAAAGAACUUCACAUCUCAAGGGCUCAUGGCUGCCUAAGUAGCCGUACUCAAUGAGGAAUGUAGAGGUGGCCCUUUCACACCCGUUAUGUACCUCUCCCGCUCGGUGCCUCUCACUCUCUUUCUCCCUUUUCACAGGAACAAGCAUCUGAUGAAAACCAAAGUUGUCAAAAAAGGGACAGAAUGGCCUGACUGAAUGAGUGUAGGGUGUUUUAUUUUUCCCUUACAUCUUGUCCCAGAGCUGCAAAGUCAUAUUACACCAUCAGUGUCAUUCGCUAGCUGAAUAAGCCAUGGCGAAGUGCCAUGACAUGACCAAAAGCGACAGAAGGUUAGGCCUGAUGCCCCUCUACAGGAGAAAGAUGUGUUAACAAACAGAACAAGAGUACAGCUUGUACCAUCUGUAGUCCAUAGAUAUAAAAAGAACUGAGGAACCGUGAAGCGUUUGCUUUCCCGCCCUCAGCGAAACGUUGCCCGUUUUUGUAAAACAAAUCCAUGCACAGACAGGAUAUGAAAACGAUUUGGUGUAGUUAAUGAUUUAUAAGUGAAACGCGAUACUUCAUUUUCGAAAACGCUUGUGAGAUGUCCCAAGGCAAGCGUGGCUCUGCUGCACUUUUUUCAAUAACAAAAUCCAAAAUGGUAUUCCGCCUACCUAGCGUUUUAGCAUUUGUGAAGAUAUUCAUUGUUCUUCUGGUGGGAACAGGGCUUUUCUUUCCAUUUUCUUCAUUGGCUUUUGAAACUGCAUUCCACACUGAGCCCUCAG
ensembl:lncRNA